rnacentral:tRNA from 1 species
GUGGUCAUGGUCUAAAGGAAAGACGCUUGUAUAGGGGAUACAAGAGAUACAGGUUCGACUCCUGUUUAUCGCA